rnacentral:rRNA from 1 species
UGCCAGACUCCUACGGGAGGCAGCAGUGGGGAAUAUUGCACAAUGGGGGAAACCCUGAUGCAGCGACGCCGCGUGAGUGAAGAAGUAUUUCGGUAUGUAAAGCUCUAUCAGCAGGGAAGAAAAUGACGGUACCUGACUAAGAAGCCCCGGCUAACUACGUGCCAGCAGCCGCGGUAAUACGUAGGGGGCAAGCGUUAUCCGGAUUUACUGGGUGUAAAGGGCGUGUAGGCGGGAAAGCAAGUCAGAUGUGAAAACCAUGGGCUCAACCUGUGGCCUGCAUUUGAAACUGUUUUUCUUGAGUACUGGAGAGGCAGACGGAAUUCCUAGUGUAGCGGUGAAAUGCGUAGAUAUUAGGAGGAACACCAGUGGCGAAGGCGGCUUACUGGGCUUUAACUGACGCUGAGGCUCGAAAGCGUGGGUAGCAAACAGGAUUAGAUACCCUAGUAC